UACGGAGGGAGCUAGCGUUAUUCGGAAUUACUGGGCGUAAAGGGCGCGUAGGCGGAAUGGCAAGUCGGUCGUGAAAUCCUUCGGCUCAACCGAAGAACGUCGAUCGAAACUGCCGUUCUUGAGGGAUGCAGAGGAGACUGGAAUUCCCGGUGUAGCGGUGAAAUGUGUAGAGAUCGGGAGGAACGACCGGUGGCGAAGGCGGGUCUCUGGGCAGCAACUGACGCUGAGAAGCGAAAGCGUGGGUAGCGAACAGG
rnacentral:rRNA from 1 species